AGUAAUGCCUAGGAAUCUGCCUGGUAGUGGGGGACAACGUUUCGAGAGGAACGCUAAUACCGCAUACGUCCUACGGGAGAAAGCAGGGGACCUUCGGGCCUUGCGCUAUCAGAUGAGCCUAGGUCGGAUUAGCUAGUUGGUGAGGUAAUGGCUCACCAAGGCGACGAUCCGUAACUGGUCUGAGAGGAUGAUCAGUCACACUGGAACUGAGACACGGUCCAGACUCCUACGGGAGGCAGCAGCG
rnacentral:rRNA from 1 species